rnacentral:rRNA from 1 species
UACGAAGGUCCCAAGCGUUAUCCGGAUUUAUUGGGUUUAAAGGGUGCGUAGGCGGGUUAUUAAGUCAGUGGUGAAAGCCUGCAGCUUAACUGCAGAAUUGCCAUUGAUACUGAUGAUCUUGAGUAUGAUUGAGGUGGGCGGAAUGUGUCAUGUAGCGGUGAAAUGCUUAGAUAUGACACAGAACACCGAUUGCGAAGGCAGCUCACUAAGCCAUAACUGACGCUGAUGCACGAAAGCGUGGGGAGCAAACAGG